rnacentral:rRNA from 1 species
GACAGAGGGUGCAAACGUUGUUCGGAAUUACUGGGCGUAAAGCGCGUGUAGGCGGCUAAGUAAGUCGGGCGUGAAAUCCCACGGCUCAACCGUGGAAGUGCACUCGAAACUGCAUAGCUAGAGUCCUGGAGAGGAAGGUGGAAUGCUUGGUGUAGAGGUGAAAUUCGUAGAUAUCAAGCGGAACACCGGUGGCGAAGGCGGCCUCUGGACAGUGACUGACGCUGAGACGCGAAAAGCGGUGGGGAGCAAACAGGG